UACGUAGGUGGCGAGCGUUGUCCGAAUUCACUGGGCGUAAAGCGCGCGUAGGCGGACUUUUAAGUUGGGGGUGAAAUGCCGAGGCUCAACCUCGGAACUGCCUCCAAAACUGGGAGUCUUGAGGUAUGGAGAGGGAAGUGGAAUUCCAGGUGUAGCGGUGAUAUGCGUAGAUAUCUGGAGGAACACCCGUGGCGAAGGCGGCUUCCUGGUCAUAUCCUGACGCUGAGGUGCGAAAGCCAGGGGAGCGAACGGG
rnacentral:rRNA from 1 species